UAUGAAACGUGUUUAUUUAUUCGUAUGAGAAAUUCAUCCAAGUUUUAAAUAAGUAAAUAAAACUACAUGGAGCGAGUUUUAAAGCGGACUAUAUUUACAAUAUGUAUCAACAUUUAUACCAUUAGUUAUUAAAACGCAUGUGGAACUCAUUUAUGUAGGAUGUGUUGGAGUUCUGAAUAGAUUGUCCCCCUCCGUUGCACAAGAUGGUAUCGCCCAACUAUUACCUCGCGCUGGGACAAUAGUGAUGGAAAGUUCGGUUCUUUUCCGCGAACCGGUUCUUUCGGACAGUUCGUUUUAAUGAACCAGUUCAAUAAUCCAGUUCACCAGUUCUUUUACGUGCUGGCGUAAUGACGUAAUUCUACUGUUGACAGAUGAUCCAGAGCUUUCUGAGGUGAUUUGAAGCUAUGUAUGUCGGUUUUGACACGUCCAGUGUAAACAUCCUCAAGCCCACUCCAGAUUCCCAAGUGAUAUACAGAGAUGUCAGUCAUGGACAAUAGCACUCAGGACAGAGGGCUUCGAGCCAAAAGACCGCACCGUACUGUGCAGCUGUCAUUUUCGGCCUGAAGAUUUUGACGGGAGUGGGCAGACCAUCCGUUUACGACAAGAAGCGACCCCAUCCAUUUUUAACUUUCCUGAUCAUCUUUCAAAGCAGCCUAGUUCAUCCAGGUUAAGCAGAACAUCAAACAAAGUAACUGAAGAAUCUCCACACCCAUUGUCCUACACACCUGUCAGGGGGCUUUUAAGACCAGACCUCUUUGAUCAGUCAUUCAUAGAUCAUACAUAUGCCUUUGACCCAGUUAAAGCAAAAGAGAAGUUGUUUGUGUCUCAGGAGAACGUUGAGAAGUUACAACGGGACUUGAGAAAUGCAAUGGACAGGGGAAGAAGAAAAAAGAAGACAGUUAGCUCCUUGUUGGAGGAUUUAAAAAAUAACAAGAUGCUGACUGAGGAACUGGAGCAAAAGCUGAAUUUCUACUCUGGUUGGCUGACUCGAUUCACCCUCUUAAAUGCACAUGAUCAAUUGUCUCUAAAUCAAUCUGAAAUAUGUCUCUGUGAAACUAUAAUUUUUAUUUUAUUAUUGUCUGCUAUUUGUCUGCUAAUUGUCAUUUAGCAGACUCCCUUAUUCAGAGUGACUUACAAUUUGUUUCAAUUUAUACAACUAAGCAAAACCCCCAGUCUGCAAAAGCGUUCUCAAACAUAACAUUUAAAUGAGUUUUGGUUUCUUAUUAGACAGCCUCUCCAAAUGUUAAAAAACAGACUCACCAGCUAUAAGAGAAAUAUAUGAUGCAACACACAACAUGGUUAAUUGAUAUCUAUUGAUUUAGGUGUAUAUAUAUAUAUAUAUAUAUAGUCUUGCAAUGGCCUGCUAGUACUUAGUAUAUUGAGAUGCACCUUCAGACAUUUUAGUCAUUUUAGACAUUUUUACUUAAGGAGGUGACAAUAUGAGAGAAGUGAUAUUGGAACUUAAUUCUUUAGAGUAAUGUGAUGGUUAAAUAACAUGGGAAUUAGUUGGUUUUAAUGUGUGUGUGGAUUAGAGGACUGGGAGUUUCAGUAUAAACGUUUCAGGUUAGAUGAUGCUGUCAGACAUGAAACUCACAGGACAAAGAGACUAGAUUUUCAAAUGAUAUUUUUCAUUUAAUAAAUGUCCUUUUUGAUUCCUGUUUAUUGAGCCUGUGGUUAGAAGCUGUUUUUUCAUGGAUAUUGGAUCUUCGAUUCCCCUCUUGGAAUUAGUUUGAGUAGUAAAAGGAUUUCACUAUUAAUUGUGUUUAUAGUCACACAGUAUAUCUCUUAGGUUUCCUGAAUUAGCUGAAGUUAGUUUUAUUCAAAUGUUCAAGCAUUCCGGCCCUCUCGACCAGAUUGUGUAACAGUUUCUUUUCACAAGCCAUCAGACUCCUUAAUAAUAAUUGAACUGAUCUGUACUAAGCACAACACACACAUGCACAUCCAUGGGCAAAAAUCCCGGGGUAAAUCUAAAAUAACCAUAAUGACACAGUCUCUAUGCUAUAAUAAUGAUAAAAACAAAGUUUUUCACUGUGGGACAUGUCUUUAUAAGUACAAUUUGACUAUUAUUUGUGUCCCCCCUUCAAAAAUUGCUCAUGAGAAAUUUUAUAUAUAUUGUCCCCCCCUACUGUUAAAUGAAAUUUACGCCCAUGUGCACAUCAACUGUAUUUAAUGCACAGACCUACAACAAACGAACACACACUUCCAAUACAUAUCCAUCAAACUGUUUACAUGCUGGUUUUGCUCUUUGCACAUGCUGUCUCACAUUUCAGUCGUUUGCUGUUUUGCACAAACCAACAUCUCAGGUAACUGCUGCUAU